AUUAUUUUAGCGCCUGGACAUAUUUAAAUGUUGACGAGGACUAAGGUUAUCGAAAUUUUCGGCGGAUGCCUUAGUGGUAGGCUUUUACCAUAAGUUUAAUAGAAAAAAUAAUGGUAACAUUAUAACAAAAGUUAAACU
rnacentral:ncRNA from 1 species